CCUACGGGCGGCUGCAGUGGGGAAUAUUGCACAAUGGGCGCAAGCCUGAUGCAGCCAUGCCGCGUGUGUGAAGAAGGCCUUCGGGUUGUAAAGCACUUUCAGCGGGGAGGAAGGCGGUGAGGUUAAUAACCUCAUCGAUUGACGUUACCCGCAGAGGAAGCACCGGCUAACUCCGUGCCAGCAGCCGCGGUAAUACGGAGGGUGCAAGCGUUAAUCGGAAUUACUGGGCGUAAAGCGCACGCAGGCGGUCUGUCAAGUCGGAUGUGAAAUCCCCGGGCUCAACCUGGGAACUGCAUUCGAAACUGGCAGGCUAGAGUCUUGUAGAGGGGGGUAGAAUUCCAGGUGUAGCGGUGAAAUGCGUAGAGAUCUGGAGGAAUACCGGUGGCGAAGGCGGCCCCCUGGACAAAGACUGACGCUCAGGUGCGAAAGCGUGGGGAGCAAACAGGAUUAGAUACCCGGGUAGUC
rnacentral:rRNA from 1 species